rnacentral:rRNA from 1 species
GACGAACGCUGGCGGCGCGCUUAACACAUGCAAGUCGAACGGAAAGGCCUGCUUUCCCUUGUGGUUUGCGGGUACUCGAGUGGCGAACGGGUGAGUAACACGUGAGUGAUCUGCCCCCAACUUGGGUAUAAGCCUGGGAAACUGGGUCUAAUUCCCGAUAGGACUGCAGGGUGGUGCCUGUGGUGGAAAACGAUUUUCUAGUGGUUGGGAUGAGCUCGCGGCCUAUCAGCUUGUUGGUGGGGUAAUGGCCUACCAAGGCGGCGACGGGUAGCCGGCCUGAGAGGGUGGACGGCCACAUUGGGACUGAGAUACGGCCCAGACUCCUACGGGAGGCAGCAGUGGGGAAUAUUGCACAAUGGGCGGAAGCCUGAUGCAGCGACGCCGCGUGGGGGAUGACGGCCUUCGGGUUGUAAACUCCUUUCGACCGCGAGGAAGCCACCUGGUUGGAAGGGUGGUGACGGUAGUGGUAGAAGAAGCACCGGCUAACUACGUG